rnacentral:rRNA from 1 species
CAAACGACUCUCGGCAACGGAUAUCUCGGCUCACGCAUCGAUGAAGAACGUAGCAAAAUGCGAUACUUGGUGAGAAUUGCAGAAUCCCGUGAACCAUCGAGUUUUUGAACGCAAGUUGCGCCCGAAGCCAUUCGGCUGAGGGCACGUCUGCCUGGGCGUCACGC